rnacentral:rRNA from 1 species
GCAGUAGCCGCGGUAAUACGGAGGGGGCUAGCGUUGUUCGGAAUUACUGGGCGUAAAGCGCACGUAGGCGGCUUGGUAAGUUAGAGGUGAAAGCCCGGAGCUCAACUCCGGAAUUGCCUUUAAGACUGCCGAGCUAGUAGGUGAGAGAGGUAAGUGGAAUUCCGAGUGUAGAGGUGAAAUUCGUAGAUAUUCGGAAGAACACCAGUGGCGAAGGCGGCUUACUGGCUCAUUCUAGACGCUGAGGUGGGAAAGCGUGGGGAGCAAACAGGAUUAGAUACCCCUGUAGUCCCUGUCUCUUAUAA